UUAAUUGAAACCAAAAAGAGGUAUAUCACUGUUAAUGAUAUCAUUGAAUUCUCAAUUCCAAUUAAA
rnacentral:tRNA from 1 species